AGGUAAUGGCUCACCAAGGCGUCGACGGGUAGCCGGCCUGAGAGGGUGACCGGCCACACUGGGACUGAGACACGGCCCAGACUCCUACGGGAGGCAGCAGUGGGGAAUAUUGCACAAUGGGCGAAAGCCUGAUGCAGCAACGCCGCGUGAGGGAUGACGGCCUUCGGGUUGUAAACCUCUUUUAGCAGGGAAGAAGCGAAAGUGACGGUACCUGCAGAAAAAGCGCCGGCUAACUACGUGCCAGCAGCCGCGGUAAUACGUAGGGCGCAAGCGUUAUCCGGAAUUAUUGGGCGUAAAGAGCUCGUAGGCGGUUUGUCGCGUCUGCUGUGAAAUCCCGAGGCUCAACCUCGGGCCUGCAGUGGGUACGGGCAGACUAGAGUGCGGUAGGGGAGAUUGGAAUUCCUGGUGUAGCGGUGGAAUGCGCAGAUAUCAGGAGGAACACCGAUGGCGAAGGCAGAUCUCUGGGCCGUAACUGACGCUGAGGAGCGAAAGGGUGGGGAGCAAACAGGCUUAGAUACCCUGGUAGUCCACCCCGUAAACGUUGGGAACUAGUUGUGGGGWCCAUUCCACGGWUUCCGUGACGCAGCUAACGCAUUAAGUUCCCCGCCUGGGGAGUACGGCCGCAAGGCUAAAACUCAAAGGAAUUGACGGGGACCCGCACAAGCGGCGGAGCAUGCGGAUUAAUUCGAUGCAACGCGAAGAACCUUACCAAGGCUUGACAUAUACGAGAACGGGCCAGAAAUGGUCAACUCUUUGGACACUCGUAAACAGGUGGUGCAUGGUUGUCGUCAGCUCGUGUCGUGAGAUGUUGGGUUAAGUCCCGCAACGAGCGCAACCCUCGUUCUAUGUUGCCAGCACGUAAUGGUGGGAACUCAUGGGAUACUGCCGGGGUCAACUCGGAGGAAGGUGGGGAUGACGUCAAAUCAUCAUGCCCCUUAUGUCUUGGGCUUCACGCAUGCUACAAUGGCCGGUACAAAGGG
rnacentral:rRNA from 1 species